UCCAUUUUAUUUCCCCCCAAAAUUUUCCCCAAACCAUUCUCCCUCCCAUUCUCCCUCCAAACCAACCAUUUCUCCCCCCACCGGCACCAUCGCCGGCACUGUAAUCUCCUCUCCCCACCGUUACUGCCGCCGACGACCCGAAACCCUUUCUCCCGAGAAUCACAUUUCAUUUCCCCCUUUUUUCUCCCCAACCCAUUUUCUUCCUCCACCGGCACCGUGAGUCUUCUCCUCUCCCCACCGUCACUGCUGCCGAUGAGCCCAAAACCACCCCACCGUGCGAUGACCAGCUCUACCAUGCCUGGGACCCUCACCGACCUGGCCCAUUGGCACUGCCGUUAAGGUCAACAGCGCAGACUCCGAUAUCGCCUUCAAUUGCGCCAGGCGGCCUCCACCACGCCAAGAAGGUCAAGGCCUCUUGAGACCCUCGGGCUCUUUGAGACUUUUACAAGGUUGAAAAACCAAGGCAAAGUUAGAAAGCCAUUUCAUUUUGAUUUUAUUUCCACAUCUGUCACUUUUUGCUUUGUCUAUUACGUUUCAAUUUCGUUCUCAAAUUUUUCAUGGGUUAUUUUCUAUUUCAAAUAUAAUGGUGAAAUAUUUGUCUUGGAGUUUUCUAUUGCUUAGUUCUUAUCCUUUGCCCUUCCAGAAAUCUCCUCUUCAUCAAUGUCUCUCUCAGGUACUCUCUCUUUAUCUCUCUCUCACAUUAGAUUUGACUGAUUGGUUAGCUUCUAGUGCUUGUUUUACUUAGUGACUUAUGGAGCUUUGUUGGAAAAAGAUUUGCUGAAGAAGAAAAGAAGCAUUGCCUAUUUCCUGAUGAUGUUAAAAGAUCAUGUUCUACAAUAUGGUUGAGAAAAGACAACAAUUAUUUCCUUCAUGUGACUAAACAUAAGAUUCUUUUGUUCUUCUGUUUUUAUCCCUCUUGAUUCACUAUGUAUUUGGUAGGUUGUAGGUACCUAGUGAAUUGUACAUAAAAUUGAUUAUUGGAAUGCUCCCAACUCUUGGCCUUAUGUAAAAUUAAUUAUUCUAUGUGUAAGUUUGUUUCAUCUCA